rnacentral:rRNA from 1 species
GAUGAACGCUGGCGGCGUGCCUAACACAUGCAAGUCGAGCGAAGCAUUUAACAUGAAGUUUUCGGAUGGAAUGUUAUCUGACUGAGCGGCGGACGGGUGAGUAACGCGUGGGUAACCUGCCUUAUACAGGGGGAUAACAGUUAGAAAUGACUGCUAAUACCGCAUAAGCGCACAGUACCGCAUGGUAGUGUGUGAAAAACUCCGGUGGUAUAAGAUGGACCCGCGUCUGAUUAGCCAGUUGGCGGGGUAACGGCCCACCAAAGCGACGAUCAGUAGCCGACCUGAGAGGGUGACCGGCCACAUUGGGACUGAGACACGGCCCAA